CUCUCUUAUUAUAAACUUCAUUAUGUUUCAAUUUCAUUAUAUGUGUCUGUAAAUUAAUUUCAAUUUCAUAUUAUAUGUGUCGAUCUGUAACCCUAAAUUAUACCGAUUAAUUAAAUAUUUAACUUUGAAUUUUUGAGAUGAGGUGGCCUCUUUACACAAGCUCUAAACUUCUUGAGGUCUCCUCGCCGACUUUAUUUUAUUAAUAUCUUGUAAAUAGCUAAUAGUCUUUCUUUUUUUUUGGCAAAUAAAUCAAU